GGUGUGUAGGCGGCCUGUUAAGUUCCGUGUGAAAUCUCCCGGCUCAACCGGGAGGGUGCGCGGAAAACUGGCGGGCUAGAGUGCGGGAUGGGAGAGUAGAAUUCCUGGUGUAGCGGUGAAAUGCGUAGAUAUCAGGAGGAAUACCGGUGGUGUAGACGGCUCUCUGGACCGCAACUGACGCUGAAACACGAAAGCGUGGGUAGCAAACAGGAUUAGAUACCCUGGUAGUCCACGCCCUAAACGAUGCAUAUUUGGUGUAGGUCAUUCAGUUGAUCUGUGCCGGAGCUAACGCGUUAAAUAUGCCGCCUGGGGAGUACAGUCGCAAGGCUGAAACUCAAAGGAAUUGACGGGGGCCCGCACAAGCGGUGGAGCAUGUGGUUCAAUUCGACGCAACGCGAAGAACCUUACCUGGGCUCGAACGGCUGGUCAACGACUGUGGAAACACGGUUACCCCGCAAGGGGGUCCAGUCGAGGUGCUGCAUGGCUGUCGUCAGCUCGUGUCGUGAGAUGUUGGGUUAAGUCCCGCAACGAGCGCAACCCUUGUCCUGUGUUGCCAUCAUUUAGUUGGGAACUCGCAGGAGACCGCCAGCGAUAAGCUGGAGGAAGGUGGGGAUGA
rnacentral:rRNA from 1 species